AGCGUACACGGUGGAUGCCCUGGCAGUCAGAGGCGAUGAAGGACGUGCUAAUCUGCGAUAAGCGUCGGUGAGGUGAUAUGAACCGUUAUAACCGGCGAUUUCCGAAUGGGGAAACCCAGUGUGUUUCGACACACUAUCAUUAACUGAAUCCAUAGGUUAAUGAGGCGAACCGGGGGAACUGAAACAUCUAAGUACCCCGAGGAAAAGAAAUCAACCGAGAUUCCCCCAGUAGCGGCGAGCGAACGGGGAGGAGCCCAGAGCCUGAAUCAGUGUGUGUGUUAGUGGAAGCGUCUGGAAAGGCGCGCGAUACAGGGUGACAGCCCCGUACACAAAAAUGCACAUAUUGUGAGCUCGAUGAGUAGGGCGGGACACGUGGUAUCCUGUCUGAAUAUGGGGGGACCAUCCUCCAAGGCUAAAUACUCCUGACUGACCGAUAGUGAACCAGUACCGUGAGGGAAAGGCGAAAAGAACCCCGGCGAGGGGAGUGAAAAAGAACCUGAAACCGUGUACGUACAAGCAGUGGGAGCCUCUUAAUGGGGUGACUGCGUACCUUUUGUAUAAUGGGUCAGCGACUUAUAUUCUGUAGCAAGGUUAACCGAAUAGGGGAGCCGAAGGGAAACCGAGUCUUAACUGGGCGUUAAGUUGCAGGGUAUAGACCCGAAACCCGGUGAUCUAGCCAUGGGCAGGUUGAAGGUUGGGUAACACUAACUGGAGGACCGAACCGACUAAUGUUGAAAAAUUAGCGGAUGACUUGUGGCUGGGGGUGAAAGGCCAAUCAAACCGGGAGAUAGCUGGUUCUCCCCGAAAGCUAUUUAGGUAGCGCCUCGUGAAUUCAUCUCCGGGGGUAGAGCACUGUUUCGGCAAGGGGGUCAUCCCGACUUACCAACCCGAUGCAAACUGCGAAUACCGGAGAAUGUUAUCACGGGAGACACACGGCGGGUGCUAACGUCCGUCGUGAAGAGGGAAACAACCCAGACCGCCAGCUAAGGUCCCAAAGUCAUGGUUAAGUGGGAAACGAUGUGGGAAGGCCCAGACAGCCAGGAUGUUGGCUUAGAAGCAGCCAUCAUUUAAAGAAAGCGUAAUAGCUCACUGGUCGAGUCGGCCUGCGCGGAAGAUGUAACGGGGCUAAACCAUGCACCGAAGCUGCGGCAGCGACACUAUGUGUUGUUGGGUAGGGGAGCGUUCUGUAAGCCUGUGAAGGUGGCCUGUGAGGGUUGCUGGAGGUAUCAGAAGUGCGAAUGCUGACAUAAGUAACGAUAAAGCGGGUGAAAAGCCCGCUCGCCGGAAGACCAAGGGUUCCUGUCCAACGUUAAUCGGGGCAGGGUGAGUCGACCCCUAAGGCGAGGCCGAAAGGCGUAGUCGAUGGGAAACAGGUUAAUAUUCCUGUACUUGGUGUUACUGCGAAGGGGGGACGGAGAAGGCUAUGUUGGCCGGGCGACGGUUGUCCCGGUUUAAGCGUGUAGGCUGGUUUUCCAGGCAAAUCCGGAAAACCAAGGCUGAGGCGUGAUGACGAGGCACUACGGUGCUGAAGUGACAAAUGCCCUGCUUCCAGGAAAAGCCUCUAAGCAUCAGGUAACAUCAAAUCGUACCCCAAACCGACACAGGUGGUCAGGUAGAGAAUACCAAGGCGCUUGAGAGAACUCGGGUGAAGGAACUAGGCAAAAUGGUGCCGUAACUUCGGGAGAAGGCACGCUGAUAUGUAGGUGAAGCGACUUGCUCGUGGAGCUGAAAUCAGUCGAAGAUACCAGCUGGCUGCAACUGUUUAUUAAAAACACAGCACUGUGCAAACACGAAAGUGGACGUAUACGGUGUGACGCCUGCCCGGUGCCGGAAGGUUAAUUGAUGGGGUUAGCGGUAACGCGAAGCUCUUGAUCGAAGCCCCGGUAAACGGCGGCCGUAACUAUAACGGUCCUAAGGUAGCGAAAUUCCUUGUCGGGUAAGUUCCGACCUGCACGAAUGGUGUAACGAUCUGGGCACUGUCUCAACCGUGAGCUCGGUGAAAUUGUAGUAUCGGUGAAGAUGCCGAUUACCCGCGAUGGGACGAAAAGACCCCGUGAACCUUUACUACAGCUUAGCAUUGACCUUGGUCAUCCGAUGUGUAGGAUAGGUGGGAGGCUUUGAAGUGUGGACGCCAGUCUGCAUGGAGCCGACCUUGAAAUACCACCCUUUAAUGUUUGAUGUUCUAACGUUGGCCCGUAAUCCGGGUUGCGGACAGUGUCUGGUGGGUAGUUUGACUGGGGCGGUCUCCUCCUAAAGAGUAACGGAGGAGCACGAAGGUUGGCUAAUCCUGGUCGGACAUCAGGAGGUUAGUGCAAUGGCAUAAGCCAGCUUGACUGCGAGCGUGACGGCGCGAGCAGGUGCGAAAGCAGGUCAUAGUGAUCCGGUGGUUCUGAAUGGAAGGGCCAUCGCUCAACGGAUAAAAGGUACUCCGGGGAUAACAGGCUGAUACCGCCCAAGAGUUCAUAUCGACGGCGGUGUUUGGCACCUCGAUGUCGGCUCAUCACAUCCUGGGGCUGAAGUAGGUCCCAAGGGUAUGGCUGUUCGCCAUUUAAAGUGGUACGCGAGCUGGGUUUAGAACGUCGUGAGACAGUUCGGUCCCUAUCUGCCGUGGGCGCUGGAGAACUGAGGGGGGCUGCUCCUAGUACGAGAGGACCGGAGUGGACGCAUCACUGGUGUUCGGGUUGUCAUGCCAAUGGCACUGCCCGGUAGCUAAAUGCGGAAGAGAUAAGUGCUGAAAGCAUCUAAGCACGAAACUUGCCCCGAGAUGAGUUCU
rnacentral:rRNA from 1 species